rnacentral:rRNA from 1 species
UUGAACGCUGGCGGCAUGCUUUACACCUGCAAGUCGAACGGCAGCACGGGCUUCGGCCUGGUGGCGAGUGGCGAACGGGUGAGUAAUAUAUCGGAACGUACCCAGAAGUGGGGGAUAACGUAGCGAAAGUUACGCUAAUACCGCAUACGAUCUAUGGAUGAAAGCAGGGGACCGCAAGGCCUUGUGCUCCUGGAGCGGCCGAUAUCUGAUUAGCUAGUUGGUGAGGUAAAGGCUCACCAAGGCGACGAUCAGUAGCUGGUCUGAGAGGACGACCAGCCACACUGGAACUGAGACACGGUCCAGACUCCUACGGGAGGCAGCAGUGGGGAAUUUUGGACAAUGGGCGCAAGCCUGAUCCAGCAAUGCCGCGUGAGUGAAGAAGGCCUUCGGGUUGUAAAGCUCUUUUGUCAGGGAAGAAACGGUAGAGGCUAAUAUCCUUUGCUAAUGACGGUACCUGAAGAAUAAGCACCGGCUAACUACGUG